rnacentral:rRNA from 1 species
GACGAACGCUGGCGGCGUGCCUAAUACAUGCAAGUAGAACGCUGAAGAGAGGAGCUUACUCUUCUUGGAUGAGUUGCGAACGGGUGAGUAACGCGUAGGUAACCUGCCUUGUAGCGGGGGAUAACUAUUGGAAACGAUAGCUAAUACCGCAUAACAAUGGAUGACACAUGUCAUUUAUUUGAAAGGGGCAAUUGCUCCACUACAAGAUGGACCUGCGUUGUAUUAGCUAGUAGGUGAGGUAAUGGCUCACCUAGGCGACGAUACAUAGCCAACCUGAGAGGGUGAUCGGCCACACUGGGACUGAGACACGGCCCAGACUCCUACGGGAGGCAGCAGUAGGGAAUCUUCGGCAAUGGGGGCAACCCUGACCGAGCAACGCCGCGGGAGUGAAGAAGGUUUUCGGAUCGUAAAGCUCUGUUGUAAGUCAAGAACGGGUGUGAGAGUGGAAAGUUCACACUGUGACGGUAGCUUACCAGAAAGGGACGGCUAACUACGUG